rnacentral:rRNA from 1 species
UACGAAGGGGGCGAGCGUUGUUCGGAAUUACUGGGCGUAAAGGGCGCGUAGGCGGCCGAUCAAGUCAGAUGUGAAAGUCCUGGGCUUAACCUGGGGACUGCAUUUGAUACUGAUUGGCUUGAAUGCAGGAGAGGAUAGCGGAAUUCCCAGUGUAGAGGUGAAAUUCGUAGAUAUUGGGAAGAACACCGGUGGCGAAGGCGGCUAUCUGGACUGUGAGUGACGCUGAGGCGCGAAAGCGUGGGGAGCAAACAGG